rnacentral:rRNA from 1 species
AUUGAACGUUGGCGGCAGGCCUAAAACAUGCAAGUCGAACGGUAACAGCGGAAGCUUGCUUCCGGCUGACGAGUGGCGGACGGGUGAGUAACACGUAGGAAUCUACCUAGUAGUGGGGGACAACCCGGGGAAACCCGGGCUAAUACCGCAUACGCUCUACGGAGGAAAGCGGGGGAGUCUUCGGACCUCGCGCUAUUGGAGGAGCCUGCGUCGGAUUAGCUAGUUGGUGGGGUAAAGGCCUACCAAGGCGACGANCCGUAGCUGGUCUGAGAGGACGAUCAGCCACACUGGAACUGAGACACGGUCCAGACUCCUACGGGAGGCAGCAGUUAGGAAUCUUGGGCAAUGGGCGCAAGCCUGACCCAGCCAUGCCGCGUGUGUGAAGAAGGCCUCGGUUGUAAG